rnacentral:rRNA from 1 species
UACGUAGGGGGCAAGCGUUAUCCGGAAUUACUGGGUGUAAAGGGUGAGUAGGCGGCAUGGUAAGUUAGAUGUGAAAGCCCGAGGCUUAACCUCGGGAUUGCAUUUAAAACUAUCAAGCUAGAGUACAGGAGAGGAAAGCGGAAUUCCUAGUGUAGCGGUGAAAUGCGUAGAUAUUAGGAAGAACACCAGUGGCGAAGGCGGCUUUCUGGACUGAAACUGACGCUGAGGCACGAAGGCGUGGGGAGCGAACAGGAUUAGAUACCCUGGUAGUCCACGCCGUAAACGAUGAGUGCUAGGUGUCGGGGGGGAACCCUCGGUGCCGCAGCUAACGCAAUAAGCACUCCACCUGGGGAGUACGACCGCAAGGUUGAA